rnacentral:siRNA from 1 species
UAUGAACCGUUGGAGAUGCUCUA